rnacentral:rRNA from 1 species
AGAACGAACGCUGGCGGCAGGCUUAACACAUGCAAGUCGAACGCCCCGCAAGGGGAGUGGCAGACGGGUGAGUAACGCGUGGGAAUCUACCCAGUUCUACGGAAUAACACAGGGAAACUUGUGCUAAUACCGUAUACGCCCUACGGGGGAAAGAUUUAUCGGGAUUGGAUGAGCCCGCGUUGGAUUAGCUAGUUGGUGGGGUAAUGGCCUACCAAGGCGACGAUCCAUAGCUGGUCUGAGAGGAUGAUCAGCCACAAUGGGACUGAGACACGGCCCAUACUCCUACGGGAGGCAGCAGUGGGGAAUUUUGUGCAAUGGGCGAAAGCCUGACACAGCGACACCGCGUGAGCGAAGAAGCCCUUUGGGGUGUAAAGCUCUGUCAGCUGGAACGAAAAAAAUGACGGUACCAGCAGAGGAAGCAUCGGCUAACUACGUGCCAGCAGCCGC